rnacentral:rRNA from 1 species
UACGGGGGGGGCAAGCGUUGUUCGGAAUUACUGGGCGUAAAGGGCUCGUAGGCGGCCAACUAAGUCGGAUGUGAAAUCCCCAAGCUUAACUUGGGAACUGCAUCCGAUACUGGAUGGCUUGAAUCCGGGAGAGGGAUGCAGAAUUCCAGGUGUAGCGGUGAAAUGCGUAGAUAUCGGGAGGAACACCAGUGGCGAAGGCGGCUUCCUGGACCGGUUCUGACACUGAGGAGCGAAAGCGUGGGGAGCGAUCCGG